AAUGAACGUUGGCGGCGUGGAUUAGGCAUGCAAGUCGAGCGGAAAGGCCCGCAAGGGUACUCAAGCGGCGAAAGGGAGAGUAACACGUAGGUUACCUACCCUCCGACCCGGGAUAGCUGAGGGAAACUUCAGGUAAUACCGGAUAACGUCUCCGGACCAAAGGUGUGAUUCCGUCGGGGGAGGGGCCUGCGUCCUAUUAGCUUGUUGGGGAGGUAACGGCUCACCAAAGCAAAGAUGGGUACGGGGUGUGAGAGCAUGCCCCCGCUCACUGGGACUGAGACACUGCCCAGACACCUACGGGUGGCUGCAGUCGAGGGUCUUCGGCAAUGGGCGCAAGCCUGACCGAGCGACGCCGCGUGCGGGAUGAAGGCCUUCGGGUUGUAAACCGCUGUCAGGGGGGAGGAAAUGCUACGGGGUUCUCCCCGUAGUUUGACCUAGCCUCAGAGGAAGUACGGGCUAAGUUCGUGCCAGCCGCCGCAGUAAUAC
rnacentral:rRNA from 1 species